rnacentral:misc_RNA from 1 species
AAAAAAUAUGUUUUAACAAGUUAUUAUCCACAGAACAAAUAAAGCCUAAAUCAACAAUUGGAGCAUAACAAAUGCACCAAACAUAUCAUGUUAACAACCAUAAGCAGAGAUGUGUAAUCCAAUUCAGCAACUAACUGAACAAAAUAUAAUAACCACAAAUAAUAUCAUACAGUGAUCUACAAAAUCCGACACUUCAAUUGGUAAAUUGGUAUUUUUUUUUUCAUGAAAAGCAAACAUGAGAU